rnacentral:sRNA from 1 species
AUGUACCACGCGGACACUCCGGUUCCUGCGCGCCAUCCGCGCCCACCUGACGGCUGGCUACGUUUUGUUAGCC